GUAGCUGGACUGAGAGGUUGAACAGCCUCAUUGGGACUGAGACACGGCCCAAAGUCCUACGGGAGGCAGCAGUAGGGAAUUUUCGGCAAUGGAGGAAACUCUGACCGAGCAACGCCGCGUGAAUGACGAAGUACUUCGGUAUGUAAAGUUCUUUUAUCAAGGAAGAAAAGCAAAUGGCGAACCAUUUGUUUGCCGGUACAUGAUGAAUAAGCCCGGGCUAAUUAUGUGCCAGCAGCCGCGGUAAGACAUAAGGGGCAAGUGUUAUCCGGAAUUAUUGGGCGUAAAGGGUGCGUAGGCGGUCUAGUAAGUCAGUGGUGUAAUGGCAACGCUUAACGUUGUCCGGCUAUUGAAACUGCUAAACUUGAGUUAGAUAGAGGCGAGUGGAAUUCCAUGUGUAGCGGUAAAAUGCGUAAAUAUAUGGAGGAACACCAGAGGCGUAGGCGGCUCGCUGGCUCUUAACUGACGCUGAGGCACGAAAGCGUGGGGAGCAAACAGGAUUAGAUACCCUGGUAGUCCACGCCGUAAACGAUGAGUUCUAAGUGUCGGGUUAAACCGGUACUGAAGUUAACACAUUAAGUACUCCGCCUGAGUAGUACGUACGCAAGUAUGAAACUUAAAGGAAUUGACGGGACUCCGCACAAGCGGUGGAUCAUGUUGUUUAAUUCGAAGAUACCCGAAAAACCUUACCACGUCUUGACAUGUUUUUGCAAAAUGAUAGUAAUAUCGUGGAGGUUACCAGAAACACAGGUGGUGCAUGGUUGUCGUCAGCUCGUGUCGUGAGAUGUUAGGUUAAGUCCUAAAACGAGCGAAACCCUUAUCGUUAGUUGCCAGCACGUUAUGGUGGGGACUUAAACGAGACUGCCAAUGAUAAAUUGGAGGAAGGUGAGGAUCACGUCAAAUCAGCAUGCCCCUUAUGACCUGGGCUACAAACGUGAUACAAUGGCUGUUACAAAGGGUAGC
rnacentral:rRNA from 1 species